rnacentral:rRNA from 1 species
UACGUAGGGUGCAGGCGUUAAUCGGAAUUACUGGGCGUAAAGCGUGCGCAGGCGGUUUGCUAAGUCAGGUGUGAAAUCCCCGGGCUUAACCUGGGAACUGCGCUUGUUACUGGCAGGCUUGAGUGUGGCAGAGGGGGGUGGAAUUCCACGUGUAGCAGUGAAAUGCGUAGAGAUGUGGAGGAACAUCGGUGGCGAAGGCGGCAUCCUGGACCGGUAUUGACGCUGAGGCGCGAAAGCCAGGGGAGCAAACGGG